CUCAUACUUCUACUUAAACAGUCUAAUAUACGACCAGAAACAAGAAACAAAUGCAGUUUAUUCAUCAGUGAGAAGAACAAGUGACAUCAGUUAUGGACAAAUCACCAUCAAGACGAACAGGAGGAGAGAGUUUCAGCCGGGACCAGAGGUGAUCUACUCUUACCUGAGAGAGAGCGUCACAGCCUCACAUCAUCCAUGAAUGUGUCCAGACCUGAUCUCUGUCUGCAGCUCUUCAACUACAAUGAACCAAACAUGUGAUGGGACAUAAGCAGGACGAUGGUUCAUCUAAAUGCAAUUUAAUGACGAGCGUCACGUUGGACACAUUGAUUGUGACUCAGUGGACUAAGACGACACAAAGGAAGACUCCACCUGUGAGAAUCACUGUGAACGCCUUGGUUAUUGAUUAAACUUUAAAUAUUAUUCAUCCACAAGGGAAAUUACUCGGUCACAGUAGCUCAGUAAAAAAAAAAGGAAAAAUCUAGCAAAAUAUAAUAAAAGUAAAAUAUAAGUAAAACUCUAGUUAUUUAUAUGAAAUAAAAAAUAAGAUAUGAGCAAAACUCUAGGAAAAUAAAAAGAAUUAGUAAAUCCACUAAAGAAAACUCUGGUGGCUGGGAGGAUUUAUUUGCAUGUUACGAAAAACACAUGCAAAUAAAUUCAGAGGACAAAUUUGUGCCCUGAACAUAAAAUAAAAUGCUGCAAGAACCGUGAGGAACGACAUUAAUGCUCCCAGAGCUCCAGGAUCCAAACUAGGGAUACAAGAGAAAUGAAAAGAAGUUGUUUUUACUUUUCUUUUCUUUGAACGUCCUGAUGACACGAUUCAUUUAACUUCAUUUGUUUGAGUUCUCUCGACCUCUGUAGACCAGACACAUUAAAUCCCUGUGUUGACCUUCAGUGGUUCCAUUCACUCAUUCACUGAUGAUGGAUGAGUGUUCAUGUGUUCAUGUGGCUGCAGCUUCUCUGUGGAUGAAUCAAGUCAGUGAAUGCGCUGACCUUUAAAAUCUAAACCUCAUCAUCACUGCAUCAGCAUCACAGCUGUUUAUGAACACAUUAGACCUCCUCUCACUAAAAACACCAUGUAGAUGCAGCCAGCAGGGGGCAGCACAGGAGCUUCAGUUUGUCUAUGAGCACAUGAUGGAGUUCACUCUAAUGGAGGAAGAAGGUGAAGACGUGAGAUUUGAAUCCUCACAGACUCUGAGAGUUACAGCAAAUAUCAAAGAAGGAAACCAGGAAGUGAAGCUGCAGCUUUUUGUUCUUCACUGACAAACUGAGAAUCUGGAUCAGAACCAACACAAAAACACAUCAACACCCCACAAUAACCCACAAUAACCCACACUAACCCACACUAACCCACACCAACCCCACUGUGUCUCUGCUGUUAACUCUGCUGGGUAUAAAACUAGGCUGCAUAGUCUGGAGUUACAGGUAAAGUUGUGUUAUAUAAACCCUGUUUGGACAUGUCAUCGUUGUGUAAGAUGGCGGCUCUAGUUGCUCUUUCGUUUACUGUGAAAUGAAACUUCCUCUCAGUAGUUUUCCAUGAAGAGGGCGUCUCUGCCCUCCAGCCACAGCCUAAUGUAACACGAGGCACGAACGGCAAAAACAAAGAUGAGCAUUUGCCUUUGAUGGAUUUGAUAUUCAAAACGUCUAGUUAUAGAGUCAUACUGUGUUUCAGCUUCGCAGACACAGGCCCUGUGUACAGUCAGACAUGAUGAAGGGGGCUUUACAUUCUUCAGCCCAUAAAGGAAGAGGGAAAAUAGUUUGACUCUGACAUCAUGAAAAAAUCCCCCUGCCGCCUUCAGAUGAAACUCAGUGGGUUAAAGAGGGACAGUCCAGAACAUGAUGUGGACAGUAUGGAUGUGGAUUCUUUAAGUUGUUUCUCUACAGAGCAGCUGCUUAAAGAGGGAGAAACCAUUUCCUGAUUCAGAUUGUGUUUCAAACAACAACAACUCUCCUCCAUUUUGUUCUGUUAACGAGGACGGACCCUAGGGGGAGUAGAUGUGAGUUGGUGAAAAAGAGGAACUGAACCUGCAGACAGGUGUCAGCUGCAACAUAGAGUCAGGUUCAUCUGUCAGUGUUUUACAAGAGAAUUUGUUGUUAUUCAACGCAAAUUAAACACAGGAUCAAAUUCACACAGAGCGUGGGUCUGGCCAAUAAAUGUCUCCUUGUCUCAGAUGAAAUAUGAGUAGAUGAGUCCCUAUAGAGAUGAUGUGUUGGCGGUAACCCUGAGGCACAAACCUGUUGAUACCUGCAGCUUUGUUCACAUAAUCACAUAACACCCUCCCCCUCCUGUGGGGGAGGGUGUUUUCCCCUAAUCUGACCUCAGCCUGAGUCACGCACGUCUACACAAACACAGACUGUGAUCUUUAGUUUUACCACUCUCCUUUAUUUACAGAAUCAACAAAUGCGAACAAAAUGUGUUCAGAUAGUUUGUAUUGUUGUUGGUACUAGAUACAUAAAACUGAACUGAAUGGAACAGAAGGGCGGCAGCGUUUCUGAGCACUGACCUUAUGUAGUUGAACCGGUCGGACCGACAGCAGAGCAAACAAGAGAGAGAACACCACAAUUAACCCUUCAGGGGUGGGAGGAUGUCUGGUAAAUUCAUCACAUUUUAAAUCACACCCCUGCUCCUCUCUUUAUUUAGCUUUAUUGCCAUGUUUUCAGAUCAAGGAAUCAUUGUCCGUGUCCUGAUGUCGUCUAAUGUGAUGACGUUCUAACGCUCUGAAUACAUGUUAAUGCACAGACAUGAGAACACGAUUCAGGCUCUGGUUGAACUAAAUCUGGGGCAGGUGUUUGAGUUCUUUAGGUCUCAGGAGGAGGAAAGAGGACGCCUGGUCACUCCAAUAAACCCAGACAGAUACAGGACUCUGUCCCUGGAGACGUCAUUAACUGCUGACUGUCAGCUGCCAUAAAGUGUUUUAUAAGAGGGCGUGUUGUUAUCACACACAAACUAGACACGUCUGCACAGGAUCAAAUUCCUCCAACAGUCAGCAGAUGCUCAAAUUCACUUCAUUCAGCUCAACAUAGCCACCAUUUAAAAAAAUACAAGUUAAAAUGACGAGACACUGAGUGUAGGUCUGAGGAAUAAAUGUCUUCCUGUUUCCACAUGAGUCGACUGAGAAGAGGUGAUGUGUUGGUGGUAACCCUCAGACGAACCCGUUAUUAACAGCUGCCUCCCGCUCUUUCAUCAUGAACUGACUGUUGCUAACACAGACACUUGUUUAGUUUUAAAAACUCCUUUACAGACGUGUUGUUUCCCCUUCACAGCCCCUCCCACCCUGUUUCUGUUCCUCUCUGAAGCUGCGCCUUUGUUUCUGAGAAGUGAAGCUAAUAAAUAACCUGUCUGACCUGUGUUACAGGACUUUUAUACCACAAUUAAAAUAAAGAACAUUGUGAUCAGUGGUUCACAGGGUGCACUUCAUUCUGCACAUACUACACAUACGUGUCAUGCUCUGAACGUUUUAGUUUCUUUUAUUUUAGUGCACAGAGAAAACAGGCAGACAGUGACAUCCUGAAACUCUGGCUUCUGUCUGAAACCAAGUCCUGACUGAGAAUGUGAGCCACUACAAAUGAAACCUCUCCUCCAGUUAGCAAACCCGCGCAGGACCUGAAGGCGGUUAUUUUAUCAUAGCCGGUUAUUACAUGAUGGGAGGUGAACAACCAAAUGAAGUCAGCUUUAUGCUCCUUUAUCUGUCAGGUUACAACAUGCUGGCUGCACACACAUAUUUUAUUCAUCAGACAUUAGACACGUCCACACAGGCUCGAAUUCCUGCUUCAGUCAACUCAUCCAGAAUUCAUUUCAUCGUCAAAGCUCAACAAUAGAGCAGCCUCACAAAAAGAGGGACAGCUUGACACAGCGUAACCCUGCUUUAUUUCCUUGGUCAAAGUAUUCAUUUAUUUUAACAAAUACUUCCUCAGUUCUAACUGGAACUGGUUGAAACAGGAACUUAUGUGGGUGGAACACAUUUAGAAACUUGUAUGAGCGGCUUCCAUUACAUGUGACUUAGACUUAGACUUUAAUGAUCCCUGAGGGAGAUGACUUUUAAAAACCAAAACCAAAAAUUAAAUAAAAUAAGUUUAGAUUACAACAAAAAUUAAAUAAAACAUUAAAUGUUAUCGGGUAAAAUACUUCCCUAUUGACUUUUAAACUGAACAUACGCAGAGAGACACACCCGCCCAUAAUAACAAUCUUAUCGACUUCACCAUAAACACUUUUGCACACGGUGCGCUUCCAGCCGCCCUAACCCACAUCCUGCAGGCCUGCUCGUCAGCUGUUGUGUAACGUCUUUUUAUACUGUAGCUGCAUGGACUAGUGUUUUGCACGCUCUGCUUUGCACCAUCUCUACUUCUUGCAGCGUUUGCACCGUUUUGUGUUUGCUGCAUCAGCCUGCACACAUGCACCUUGUUGUCAGGCCCUAGCAUGGUCCUCAGUCCUGGGUCUACAUGUCCUCUCGUCUCACUCUGUCUUCAAGCUUCGACCUUCAGGUGGACUGCUGAGUUUUUGUUUCUGUUCUAAUAAACAGGAAUGCUAUGUUUCCUGCAACUCUCUUAAUCUGUAUUUAUCUGAUUCCCAGGUCUGUCGUCUACUUCUUGUUUAUGCCACAGAGAUGAAUUACAGGAAACUCCGCUCCACUGAGACAUCAGUGCUUUCACAUGCUUUAACAUCCUGCUUGUUAAAAAAAAAAAAAAAGCUUCUGCUGAAUUAUCUCAUUAAGCCAGGAGGAAAACACUGGGUGUGUUCAAUGUGAUAAUUAUACAAGACUCUCAGGGUUCUGGAACAUUUUGUGCUCACCAGAGGGUGAGCCUUGUUGGUUUCAUAUGAGUCAAGGGAAAAGUACCUUCAGUCUGAAACAGAAACACAUGAAAUAUAAAGUUCAAAUAUACAAAACUCUAGCUGUGUCCAGAUACAGACACAGAGAGCCGGGUCCUCGUUGUUUCUGGCCGUGGUCCAUGGGGGGAACCUGGACUUGUGUCCCUGGUCUGGCUCCAGUUAGUGGAGGUACUGCAGCAAACACACCUGCCAGGGUCUCUUAGUCCGGUCCCUCCCCCGGGAACUAGGCUUUUGCACCCUGCCACAAACCUUCCAGGAUCACAGGGGCGAACCAGCUCCCCUUAUAUCCUGUUAGAAGCUUCUAAAAACACUUCCAGACAACAGGAGAACUGAACAUGCACACAUAAAGUUUGGAGCUAAGAAUGUCCUCAGUUAUAUUUAAAGGUUCCUGUAAACCUUUGAGAUCUUAGCUGGUUGAGACCUCAGUUAUUAUCACAUGUCUAACAGAGUUUAAAGUCGACUACAGAGGAGAAUUUACCCACAGCUGCAAAUAACAGUUAGGUUAGUUAAGGGAAACAGUAAAAGGAUAUAACAGGGCCUACUUACAUUACUCAUGGUCAGAUCAUCUUUUAUUUUCAGAACUGACUGUGUUAAAGAGGAACAGCUCUGUUCUUCCUGGUUCAGACUGAGGGGGAGGUGUUGAUGACGAUGGAAACGUUUUUUUAAAAAGUGCUUCAGACUGACUGCAGUGAAACCCCCUGAAUCCCACCAGAAUGUGACUAAAUAUUAGAGUUUCCAGGGUCUGAUUUCUGAGAUCCAGCUUUAAGCUGCUGACGCCCUGAGGCCAGAGUAGCAUCAGGUCAAUCACAUGAUGAGAGGCUGCUGGACUAUUUUAGACCUUUGUGUUGCAGGUUGUUGACCUGACGUUACCUGGAAAACUGUUGUGUUGUUGUUGUUGUUGUUGUGUGACUGGUUGAGCUGAGAGACCUUCUGCAUUCCCAGCAAACCAUACACCACAAGGGUACACGCUUAUACUACCCGAGAGGAAUCAUUUAUAUUUAUUUAUUCCUUUCAUGAAAGUGGACAACAGAAUUUGUACAUAACUGCACACUACAUUUUGAAAUCUACUUAACUGGAAAGGAGCAGCAAGAAGAAAGUAUUUCUGUAUCUGACUCCUACUUGAACAAUUAAAAAAAGAAAAAAAUGGUCUGACAUCAUGUAAAGUUGAUUUUCAGUAGCCUACUACAUCAACAACACAAAUAAACAAAACAUAUCAAAUAAAAAAUAGCUUACAAAGUACAAAUUUACAAACUCAAAAAUAUUUAUUGUUAACAUCCAGUUUAACUUUCAAGUGCAUAUUGACAAUUGUUUCAGCAUUUAUACACUUAUACAUUUUACUUAAUUUUAAAAUUAGUCAAUAUUUGAGCAACCUUUUAACUCCUGAAUUCGGGGGUUCCAUAUUUUUACUCCAACAACCAAAAUACACAUCUGUUUUAAAGUAGUUUUAGCAACUUGGUGCUUAAAAUCGAAUCUUCUUCUAUGAGUUUUAUCUUCUGAAGUAAACACAAAUAGCUUUUGCAGGUUUUCUGGUAAUUUUGCCUUUGAGCAUAAUUAACAAUGUCUCAAGUUCUAUUAUCUCUGUAAGUUUCAAUAACCCUGAUGUAAUAAA